ensembl:lncRNA
CUUCUGUUGUGACAUCAGGCUAUAGGAUCGAUUCUCUUCUGUUGUGACAUCAGGCUAUAGGAUCGAUUCUCUUCUGUUGUGACAUCAGGCUAUAGUAUCGAUUCCCUUCUGUUGUGACAUCAGGCUAUAGGAUCGAUUCCCUUCUGUUGUGACAUCAGGCUAUAGGAUCGAUUCUCUUCUGUUGUGACAUCAGGCUAUAGGAUCGAUUCCCUUCUGUUGUGACAUCAGGCUAUAGGAUCGAUUCUCUUCUGUUGUGACAUCAGGCUAUAGGAUCGAUUCUCUUCUGUUGUGACAUCAGUCUAUAGGAUCGAUUCUCUUCUGUUGUGACAUCAGUCUAUAGGAUCGAUUCUCUUCUGUUGUGACAUCAGGCUAUAGGAUCGAUUCUCUUCUGUUGUGACAUCAGGCUAUAGGAUCGAUUCUCUUCUGUUGUGACAUCAGGCUAUAGUAUCGAUUCCCUUCUGUUGUGACAUCAGGCUAUAGGAUCGAUUCUCUUCUGUUGUGACAUCAGGAUAUAAGAUCGAUUCCCUUCUGUUGUGACAUCAGUCUAUAGGAUCGAUUCUCUUCUGUUGUGACAUCAGUCUAUAGGAUCGAUUCUCUUCUGUUGUGACAUCAGUCUACAGGAUCGAUUCUCUUCUGUUGUGACAUCAGUCUAUAGGAUCGAUUCUCUUCUGUUGUGACAUCAGGCUAUAGUAUCGAUUCUCUUCUGUUGUGACAUCAGUCUAUAGGAUCGAUUCUCUUCUGUUGUGACAUCAGGCUAUAGGAUCGAUUCUCUUCUGUUGUGACAUCAUCACAACAUCAUCCUCUUCAGAUGGGAGACAAGUACUGCAGUCGUCAUGGUGAAGUCCAGGGAUUCCCAAAAGGGGGACCAAGUUCAACGACGAUAAUUUAAAAGUCCAAUCUAGACUGAAAUAACAUCUAUAGACCUACACCUCACCCACAAAACUGGGCAGGGAGGAGAAGAAAUUAUAUUUACAAAACAAAUGUAUUUUAAAAUGUUUCAUUUUUCGUUAACUCCUUUCAAUUGAACACACAAACACAAUCCUGAUUUAUCAAAACAUCUAACAUUCCACGUUUUAUGGUUCAUAUAUAUCCUCAUUCUGUCCUCUGUAUAACUAUCAAAACAAUCUCAUAAAGUCAGAGAAACCACUGGUUAGCAUGAUACAAAAACAAGCUCUCUCUCUCUCUCUCGUAAACCUGUCAACACGACAUGCAACACACAAACUCAUCACAACAACACAACCACAUACCCCUGCCCAUGUCCAAACCCAUCAGCUGAGAUAGAGAAGACUUUCUCAAAGGGCUUCACUAAGACAUUAUUAUAAACCAUCUCUAAUAUAUAUAUAUUAUUGCAUUAUUAUAAACCAUCUCUUACAUAACAGCAGCUAUAUGGCCAUGUUCUGAAAGCAAAAUUAUCUUAUGGACAAUCUAUCUAUCUUUUCCAUCAGUCUAUCUAAUCCUCCUCACCCUGUCUCCAGAGCCAAACAAGUGGCACCUCAUUCCCUGCUCUCUGCAGAGACUCUGUGUGUAAUACCAUCUUUUCCCACUAGGUGGCAGAGAGGCCGUUAUAUAGCUCAUGCCAAGCCAGCGGGACCGGAUGGGCUUUUAAAAGAUUUCGUUUUUUAAAGAGUGAUAAAGACAAAGACUGUCAGUCACUAAGGGUUCUAUUCGAUCUGUAUCGCAGAAGUUCCGCUUUUACAGCGUGAUUGAAAUGUAAAGGUAAUGUAGCAGAGACUGCAUUCACGGUAAACACUGCGUAUGUCGGCUCAAAUUUUCCUUCACAUUUCUAUCGUGGGAAUCUGUAAACGCUUCAGCUUUCCUUUUGAACAGAGGUCUAAAUAUCUGCUUUGAAUGCUUUCGGUUAAAGAGUGGUUCAUUGCCUCUAUUCAAAACGACUGGGCUCUGGUUUCGAGAGAUUACAUGGGCUUGGAGGUAUUAUUUUAAGCUUAAAAACACAAUUCCUAAGUGUAAAAGGGCCAGAAAUGUCUCUUUUAAGUUGGUGUAAAAACCUCAAGAAAUUCGAAAUCUUAAAUAUUUUGCAAAACAGUCUUUAAAAACACCUGUGGUAUAGUAGUGUUACCCUGCGUACACAACAUCCUCUUUCCAAGGUCUACGUACAAAACAUGCCAGCUACAAAACCUAAGCAAACAGAUUUCCAUAACAAGGGACAGUUCCCACUAUUAUAUUCUAAAAUCUAUACAGCCGACCCGGGAGACAGAGAGUACGUGACAGAUGUGGAAGGAUAUAGCUUCACAUCCCCCACAGCAGAU